GUCAACAACGCUUAUCGCGGACCUUCAUAUAGCAUAGGCUUACACUUUCUAGCUUGAUGGUAAAACGCGACGCUGCUUCAAAACUGAAAUGGUACCCUUUGCACCCCUUAAAUUGUGUGCAGCUCCUGCAACUCACAGACACAAAGUAGUGUUUAUUUCAGCCAGCAUGAAGGUAAAGGUUAUUUUCCCGGGAAAGGUCAAGGUUUCUUUCCGGAGAGGGCCGACUGGGUAUUUGAGGCAAGACCCAUCAGUCGAGGCUAAGAGGAUUAAAGACCACCCUGACCUCCAGGACAAGUCAGCGGCCCAGAAUGAAGACCGGGUGAAAGACAAUGCCAGGUCUGUCGUAUUCAUGAGAGGGCGGGGGAUAUAUCAGACAAGCAGGAGGUGCUUGGAGAGUAUGUCCUGCAGUUUGGGAAAUACAAGGGAAAGUUAUUCCGGAGGCUUGCGGAGAAUGAUGUAGGGUACUACGUAAUAUGUACCUCAUCAAGAAGGUCAGGGAGGAGGAGAGAGCAGGCCAGUUUAAGCCAGAUGGUCCCAAGAAGGACAGCCUGUUGUCACUCCUGCAGUACAGCUACAGCUUCCAGGAGAUCAAGGACCUGCUGCUGUAUCUGGACAGUCAGGUAGUAACACCACCAGCUAAGGAUGACGAAGACAACCUAGUUGGUUUUGGGGUUCACACGAAGAGGACGUGGAGGGAUGUUUGGAAGCGGAGAGACGAUGGAUUUUCUGCGUUUAUCCUGCGACAGCAGUGUACGCCAGGCAGCAAAAUGUUUAGGCUCCAGGACUAACUGAAGAGGCAGAUUGCUUCUGCGGACGUGCAUCCUCAGGGCAUGCAACAUCGGCCUCUCAUUGCCCAGCUUUCACAGAAAUGGAGGAUGAUGAUGAGUUGGAGAGGAUGAUGCUCUCUAUAUCCCCAUCCAAACUCCAAGCGGAGGAAGGAGUUGAGGAAUGGGAGAGAAUGAUGCCAGCCACACCUAUUCCAGGCCAUCUUGGUGAGAACCACACACACACACACACACACACACACACACACACACACACACACACACACACACACACACUGUCAAGUUAUAUUGCUGUUUAAUGUUUUGUAAAAUGAUACAUGCUUGUUAUCUAACAUUAUUUUCUGCACUGUGCAAUCAGGUUCCCAAGUUGUCGGAGUCCCUGUGGUCA